AUGUAAAUUAUUUUUCUAACAUCAGUUCUUGAAAAACUGAUUUCUAUUCAUACAAUUAACAUCGUUUUUUAUAUCUGACCGAUGUCUAUAUUUUUUUUCAAAAUUUUUAAAAAACGCGGAAAUAACUAAGUACAAAAUUUCGGAAGCGCGGAACCAAAAUUUCGGAAGCGCGGAACCAAAAUUUCAUUCCCCCCAACGCUUAGUCAGUUUUGCCAGACUAUGUUUUCCUACACUUCGUCAAUUUUCAUUCCCAAAACCUAACAACCGCGACAGCCGUCUAGCAACCGACAUCCACUUCCUCCUUCUCCGCCUCCGACCGUUCCCUUCCUUCUUCUCCUCCUUGUCCGCCUCUGACCGUUCUCUAGUUUGAAGCCGGAGUCAGAGCUCCCAAUUAGCAAGGACGAGAUCCGAAGACACAGACCAUCCUUAUCACCCCCAAAACACAGAUUGCAGUCGCCGUCUCUUCUUUCUCUCUCCAUGGGCCUCUCCAUCUCAGCCCCUCUCUUCGACCAUCGAGACAUCGAUGGCCCUCGCUCUCCUCGUUAGUAACUCGGUAAGACGAACUGACAGUCGAAUAGUUGCCUGGGUUUUACUUUCUGGGUUUUCAAUCGAUCUAUCUCUCAUGAGCAUCUCCAUGAUUUUCUGGGCUUUCUGGGUUUUACUUCCUCAAGCAAUAAAGCAGAAAUUCUAGGUUACUUUCUGUGUUUGAUUUCUGAUUCUUCAAGGUUAAAGCUCCUUUCUGAAACUAUAGGUUGAAUUGUUCCGGUGACGCCGAUUGAAAGUACCGGUGCAUAUGUAUUUGAGGUAUUGUAACAUUUUUAGAUUCCCCCAUUUAAUUUGUUGCAUUUUGAAUUCUUUCGUAUGUUUAGAAUGUUAAUAGUUAUCAGUCUCUUAGUUGGGUUUGAAGUGCAGAUGAGGUCAGAUUAUAUAGUUUUGAUCUGGACUGAGCAAGAAGAAGUCUACACACGUCUAGUUCUGGUAACAUCUAACCUCAGUGUGAUUUUCCAGAUAUGCCUGCUGUAGCGCAGUUGGAGAAGGAUGCUAAACAUGCAUUGGCAUAUCAACUUUUGAAGGUAUUUUUGACCCAGAGGCUGGAUGCUUACUUGGAGUUUCAGGCAGCAAAUUCUACUCUGCUACAAAGCUGUGGUCUGGUCCAUGAAGAUUGUAUUACUAAGAUGAGGUUGAUUUCAUUGGUGGAUCUGGGCUCUGAUGAAUCUGGAUGAAUUCCGUAUAGUCUCAUCAGAGAUACACUUCAGAUUAAUGAUGAUGAAGUGGAACCUUGGGUGGUUAAGGCUAUAACAGCCAAGUUAUUGGUCUGUAGGAUGGACCAGAUGAAUGAAGUUGUAGUAGUAACCCGCUCUACUCAGCGUGUGUUCGGCAAGGAGCAAUGGCAUACUUUUAAGACAAAGCUAGCAUCUUCGAGGGUAAAUAGCUGCCUUCAGUGCUUAAUUUUGAAACGAAAAAAUAUAGAUACCAGAUAAGAACGACAAGGAUUUGGAUCGGGCGAGUGAGAGGCAGGAUCUUGAAGGAAAAGAGCUAAAGCAAGAAACUACUUUGCAGGAACUGGAGCUGGUUGCCGUCCAUGCUCUUCAUGAACUUGUUUCUUUAGUUCACAGUCAUGUCAAUGUUGCAGGGCAAUAUGAUUUUGAGUAAGGCUAGAUUUUGCUGACUAUUUUGUAGUAGAUGUAGUGAUAUCAGGAUGAAUUGUGAACAAAUUAUACGGCAUGUAGUUAUUGCAGUAGCGGUAUCUUCUAGACUAGCCUUAAAGUAGGUUAGGGUUUAAUUUUUGAAGCUACCUCAAGCUCUAAUUUUGUAUAGAAAUUAAUGCAAUUCCCCAAUAUUUGAAUUUCAUGUUAUUUGUGGAUCAA